rnacentral:lncRNA from 1 species
GUGAUAUGAAAAUGCGUUGUUAGUUGUUCUAUUGACUUCCCGAGAAAACAAAAUGGCGGAAUUCCCUCUGGAAAACGUGGAACGCAUGUGACGGUGCGAUGCGGUCAAAGUGGGAACUAAUUUCGAAGGUGCGCAAUUUAAACCAAGUAAAAAUAUCGGUACUUGUUUACAACUUGAUAAAAACGAUAAUUCCUUCUUGACCUGUUAUCGUAUGAAGAUAAUUACGUUAAAAAUAAGUGUUUUUCUUCUUGUGCGACAUACUUUGUCACCGGAACAAAAGAGCUGAGACUCAAGAAUAGUUUUAAAACAAUAUGAUGAUCGAAGAAGCCAAUAGAACCUUUCUACGAAUUAGAUUGCUCAUUGGCGAGUGCCUAUAACCGAUAUUCUUGGCUAAUGACGCAAAACUGAGUUUGAAGGAAAGGCUACAUGAAAACGGAGAGAGAGACGCACCAGAGAGAAUGAAAAAAAAAAGAAGAGGACGUUGCACCUGCACAUUCGCCGCUUAUAUUAUUACUACUAUUCAACAAUUCGAAAAAUACUUAUAACGAUUACACACAACCAUGAAUAAUCUCAACAGCUGCUGGCCAUUAGCCCGGCCUACUAACUUAUAUCCCGGUCGCAGAUGCACAUCAUGAACCAACUUACGAAGUAGAAGAGCCGGAUAAGAAGACACAGGUGGGGAGAGAAGAGUGAGAGAGCGAAGAGCAAGCCAGACAGGCAGUGAUGCCUCCGCGAUCACUGAUCAAUGGAAAAUAUUUUGAGCUGGAUGCUCUUUCGUCUGCGGCUCUGCAAGGGCUGUUCGACAUCAAAACUUCACCGCCAGUAUUCGAUAACUUCUACUUAAUUUCGAUAACUAUUAAGGCUCGAUAUUGACUGAAGUUUCAAUAUUCACUGAAGCUCAGGGUUGUCUUUACACAUUCGCCAAUUUAAGCCUGAUUAAUGUUUCCAUCCUAACCCCAAAAUAAUUGUCCACGACAAAAAAAAAUUCAGUGUUUGUGCUUCUCUUAUCUUAACCUUAACUUUUAGCACAAACACUGUCUAUAAACUUGGUACAGUGAAUAAUUAAGUAACGAUUAGUUUAGUUUAGGACAGAAGCACAGACCAGGCUGCAUAAUCACCGAUCAUCAUCGGUCUACAGGUAUUCUUGGAACAGCCCUACGCUCUGCCCUCUCGCACAGUGUCGAUUGUACAAUAUUCCCUCCUUCUGUCGCAGUUAUCCACUUUUAUUCAUAAUUAUCAAUUACGUUCAAUAUAAAAAUAAUACUCAGUCAAUUAGUUCAGAUUAAUACUCGUGAGUUGGGGCAGGGGUAAGGGGGUUUCGAAAGGGUUGUUCUUCGGAGCGGUGAGAACCUCCUCAUGGGCUGUCGUGCCUGCCACUGGCUCGGCCAAACACUUGCUAAGGAUCUUCGACAGAGAGAGCGUAUCCUAGACAUCCCUGUAUGGUUAACCGGCUAACAAGGUGCAAAUUAAUUACAGAUAUAUCAAGGUCACGAGCGUCGAUUAUAUCCGGAGGUUCAGAAAAAUCAUAUUCACGCCGGCGGACGGAACGAUGCUUGCGAGAUUAACGCGUCACCGUCGAUGAACAAAUCUCUACCGAAUCGCGCUUAUAUCUGUCACUCCACGAGUGUCACCGGCUGCCACUAGAAAAACUUCAGAAAAACACCGAUGGUCUCUUCGGCACUCUUAUGUAAUUACACUGUUAAGGCUUGAAAUUUUCCACACACAUGGAUUAUCACAUUCUCUUGAUAAUAAAUUAAAAACGAAAAAAGAGAAAGAGAGAGGGAGAAAGAGAGAGAGACAUAAUCUCUGUACUGUACGAUGGAUUAAAACAAUUGCUUCGUCGAUAUUUAUAUAUAACGCCACCUCGGAAGACUCAUACGCAGGACAGUAGCCUGAAACUGUCGAUUCAACUGUUCGGAAGGUGAGAUCUCACUGCACAGGACAGAACGAUUCCAAUGUUUAAGUAACCCGGACUAAGCAAAGCCUGCGCGUACUCAAUAUAUAAAUAUAUAAGUACGAUACUUGUUUUAAUGUCAAUAGUAAAUUAGCAAUUAGUAAGAUGUUAUCGCUCAAUCAACAAUUAGGAAUUCCGAAGUAUCUCUCUCUCGAGCAUGGUUCAUCCGCCUCGGUGUAACAAAUUGUCAGACAUGAGCCGAUACCAAGGGACGACGUGGUUGUUCCCACUGGCUCGCAGAAAGUACAUAUAUCAACGAGUACAAAUUAAUCGAUCAAGUAUCAGAAAAACCUAUUGGAACGCACAGGCAAUAAAUAAACAACUCGGUUUCAGCGCGAGAGCGAUGCGGAAAAAAAAAACAGCGGUACAAACGAUGCGCACGCGCAGAGCUACUCGGCAUCUAGAAUAAUACAAAAAUGUAUGGGUCGAGGAAAAGGGAACGACGUAAUGAUCAAACCGACCGAGAGGAAAGAAAAAUGGGGUCAAGAGACACGGAGAAAUAAGUUAGCGCUUAAAUAACACGAGGGGGAGCCUAAGGGCAUGUAAAAAUAUAGCUUGUAAAAAACUAAAUAAUUUAAUAAUUAAGUAAAUGUUCCUUAAGGGAUGGAUUUCCGUUUAAGUGGUAUGAAUUAAAAACAAAAAUAAAAAGAAACGAGGGAAGAACGAAAAUAGAGAGACACAGAGAGAGACAGGACGCCGUAGACAGAGACGAGCGACGUAGAAACGGAGAUAAGACAGACAUAACUUAAGCCCUAAAAUCAAAGGUGGAAUACUGAUAUAAAAAAAUUCUAUAUAAAAGCCUCGGCUAACACUGCCAUACCGCGAUGCUCCUUAACCCAGUAGGCUAAUCUCGCUUGGACGUUAACCCCCAAACGAGUCCUAGAACAAUUUGGAGCUCGGUGUUCUUUCGGUAAAUAUCCUCGUGGGAGCUUCGCUGCUCCAUCGAUCGGACGAUACUGUUACAUGUAAUAGUAAUUAAUUGAUACAAAAGGGAACGGAGAAGAAUAAAAAAGAAACAAAAGAAAAUAGAUGAGAAACGAGAAAAACAAAGAGCCGAUCGUACCAAUUAGCUUCAGACAUUAGAGAGCUCCAGACCUAGCAUACCGGGUACAGUUAAGUAAAUCCUAGUAACGUUAAAGAAAGAAACAAAGGAAAAAAAAAAGAAAAAGAAAGGGAGACGAGAACGAGAACAAAUUAAUACGACGGGUAGAACAGAGUCAAGGAGGUUAAGAUCGCGUCUGAAACGACUAACCAAACGCCGGCUCUGAAGUACCGAGUAAAAUAACGAGAGAAAGAGAGAGAAAGAUAGCGCGAGCAUGAAUCCGGAGGAAAACAAACACUUUUCGGACGCCUCGACCUGACAAAAUGCUGUCACAACUACCGGUUAAACUAACUGUCGAUUACGAAACGUUCACUCUGUCCUCGGAUAUCGUAAACUAGUAGCGGUAAAAAGGGAAAUAAACGAAAUAAAAGAAGGGAGAAAGAGAGCUUGCGCAUGUCGAGCUUCGACGACUCCCCGCGAAGGAGCGACACGAUUGGCGCGCGGGAGAUUCGAACGGGCGGAGCGCAACUCGCACCUCCCGGGCGUGGAUUACAACCUUCAUGCCUUCCUACAUUUUCACGUAAUUCACUUACACGGGGUAUCCACGAACCCGUGGGCACUAAAACUCAGAAGAUAACUACUGAACGCAAGAAUUUGUUUACACAAUAUCUCGUAAAUUAAAAAAAAAAGAACAGCGAACGUAAUUCAAGAAAGGUAAAAUUGGUUCGACUCGAAGUGGACGCGGAGAAGGCAUGAAGGUAAAAAAAAAUCCCGACAAACCCGAUCCCAGAUGCCUGCGAAUAAAAGCCAACGAAUCGGCGUAUUUAACCGAGGAGUUACGAAAAAUAUAAUACCGACGAAUACUGUAAAAAUCUCUUUCGCCGUGGAGCCCGCCUUAGACGAAUGCUUCUUCAUAGCGACUUCCAAAAGAAAUUCCCCCACGAGAAUUUCACACCUCGAGCAAGAAAUUAAAAAUACUUUCAGGUAGCGUUUCCAAACUCUCGAGAAUUUAAAUCCGAGUAAUAUAACCGAGGUUACGGUAACUUAAAGAUCCCCGGAUAAUUUAAGAGAACUUAAGCGCCCUCUAAGAAUUUCCAUUUAAGAUAAUUUAAUACUUUCAAUAAGUAAUAUUCCCGGAGUCGAGGAACCUUUUAGCUGACUUCCCUUUAAUAUAUGCUUCCUUUCAUAUUUUCGAUGAUUUUCGAUUUCCGCGGUUUCUGUAGCCACCCCUUAUUAAUUUCAAGAUACCCAAAAGGUUAGGAGGUUAGGUCACCCGAUUAAUCGUUCAAAAAGGUCAAGCCUUCAGAAAUAAAAUUUAAAAUUUUCACGCGUUUUCGCGCAUAAAUCCGCGGAGAAUAUAAUCACUGGUGAUACUCUCGGUCAUAUUACCCGGGUGACAUCAGCUCGAGGAAUAAGUUCCGGCCGUUUUAAUAACGUUAAGUUACGUUAAAAACGGCAAGAGCAUAUUCUUCGACCAAAUAUAAAGGACUAAAAACUCUAUUUUCAGGACAGACUCGUCAACUCCGACAGGCACCCAGUACUCGUAUAGAUCCCCGACCCGACGACAUAAACGGAUUAACUUAAUCAUCUUAGAGUAAAAUCGUAAAAUAACUCCCAAGAUCGCCCCAAACGGGGUAGACGUCUCCGGCCCGUCUUAUCAGCGCAUCUUCGUGUCGACCGACGCUAUCCGGCCCGACACGGCAGGUAAACGUCCCGUCAACGUUCCGACAAAAGCGGAAGAAUACAUUUGCAUCGUCGUUCCAGCUCGUAGAGACUGAAUCUAAAGCCGAACGACAUUACAAGACAUCGCAAUCGACAAUGCCGGACGGUGGUACAAUAUGAAAAUUCGAGUUGCACCAUCCGACACGAUCCUAUGCGUACCGGAUCCGGCACGUACCGGCGCCGGAUCCGGCACAUACCGGCGCCGGUCCGGCAAAACCACAGGACACGCACAUCGAGGGAAACAUUCGAACAAUCCGACACCGAUAAAACCUGCAUAACGUCCUGGAUAUUACAAUGUCGUGAUAAAGCACGUCGACGCGGAUUAAAUGUCGGAUGUUAUAAACAAUGUCAUCGAAACGCACGUCCCAGUGUUUUGUCGGAACGACGCCGGAACGGACACGUGUCGGAUGUUACAGAUCGCCGUGUCUUAACGUAUAUCCGACCGCCGUAGUGUAUAAAUACCUCUUAAUAACAAAUGUAUGUAAAAACGUUAGCUAUUGCCGGAAACGCCGCGUUAGACCGGAUAUAAUAAGUCGACCUUCCUGCGAUUCGGUAUCCGUGUCGAGUAUAUAUAUAUACACAUACGCAUAUACGUACGCCUACCUAUACGCGUAUAUAUACACAUGUAUGCAGAGAGCUAAUCCUUAAUGAAUAAUUUGUAACGGUGUACUUGUGUGUAUUAAGUAUGCGAGUGCGUGCUCGUUAAGAGUCUAGUCUACGCGUUUUUUAAGGCCCGUACUCGUUCCCCGAGCGGCUCUCGCCCGUCCUAGGGUGCCGCCGAAGGCCACAACGAACAACCUGGCGCCGAAGGGGGGCAUCCCCUCAGACGAGCGGAGCCAAGAGACGUCGCGAAGUCUCCUCCGCGAAUACGAGUAGCUCUAACAGUUUUUAAGGCUCCUUGGGUAAAUAUCUAAACGGUCAAGGCGAGGCUGGAAAGAGCUGCCGAGAGGCGUUUCGACAUAGAAAAGGAGAUAGAGAGACGUUCCUAAGUGACGGUCAUGCACGCAGCUAAUUAGUAAUGUGACGAGUCGAGUACUUUUAACCGGUUAAACCCGAAUGUCGAGUUAAAUCGAGGGAUUUUACAUUGUAACUCGGGUUAUUGGUACUAACGAAUGCGAGUUACGAGUGCCAAGGGAGACACCGAGGUACCAAUCGCGCCUUGUUCUCUUUAUUCAAAUCGUUUCACUCGAGUCGAUGAUAAGUACUCUACUAGUUAUAUCGCUUAGACUCGAGUCAUCACUAAUCGAGUCAUUUUACUCGCCGCACCCAGUCAUCGAUUCGAGUACAAACUCGAGUUAGCAAUGCUUUCGAAUAAAGAAACUCGGUAGAGUCUCGAGCCAAAUACAUUUUUCAGAAACUCACAUUCGAGUAACUCGAGUUAUCAAUGCUUUCGAAUAAAGAGACUCGGUAGAGUCUCGAGCCAAAUACAUUUUUUAGAAACUCACAUUCGAGUAACUCGAGUUAUCAAUGCUUUCGAAUAAAGAAACUCGGCAGAGUCUCGAGCCAAAUACAUUUUUCAGAAACUCACAUUCGAGUAACUCGAGUUAUCAAUGCUUUCGAAUAAAGAGACUCGGCAGAGUCUCGAGCCAAAUGCAUUUUUCAUAAACUCACAUUCGAGUAACUCGAGUUGGAUAAGCAUUCAACUCGCCACAUCGCUACAGCUUACCCCCUAAGCGGUUUGGAUCUUUGCAUUAAGUACAGACAGAUAACUCGCCACAAAGGUGAAAUAAGUAUAACCAGUGGUCCGGUUGGUUUAACGCUCGAGUAUUCGCAGGGUGAUCCUGAUAAGCCUGCCUCUCCGCAGGAACUUAAUUCGCUACCUCGCCUUAACGUGCCUUCGGGAACGCCGCCAAUCGCUCCAUAGAGGUGUCAAAGAGUAUACAUGGACGGAGUUAGAAUUGCCACCCGUCGAGUGAUUCGGCGAGAAAGAAGGAGAACAAGGGGAUGAGAGAUAAAAAAAAAAACACAGAACAAAAUAUACUAGAGCGUAGAAGACUGGAAAGGGUACAGCGUGGGGGGUAGAGUGGGGCCUCAGAGUGCUGCGUAAAAUUAUCUAAGGGACAAGGAGGGGACGCUAGAGCGCAGAGAGAAUUUUCUUUUAACGGUCUUAACUAUACUCUAUGUUAUACAACGACUAAAUCUAUUUUUGGCAAAGUUGAUUAGGUAUACGUCAUUAGGUACGGUACACGCGAGUAAAUGCACUGGCCGUAGCUGCAGUUACGAGCUAGUCGGACUGGGCUGUGUAAUACUUUGUCGAGCGCGCUCCUCCACCAGUCACUCUGCACCACGGGCCAGUCGGACCCACAUGGGACAAGUCAGCCCACAUGGCGGCCUCCCCAGACCGAGUCCAGGGAGCGUGUCUGUGUGUACGUCAAUACCAAGAAAGCGAGAACAGAGAGCGAGAAAAGGCUGAUCGGAGCAACGAGGUGCUGUCACAUCUCGAUCGGUCAGAGUGGGAUAGAGAAAAGGUGAAAGAGAGAGAGAGAGAGAGAGAGAGCGCUCCGUGGUCCACACCCUGUGUAUCACCGGACAGGUUUUCUCUUCUGUCUAGGGAGA